GAUGAACGCUGGCGGCGUGCCUAAUACAUGCAAGUCGAGCGAACAGACGAGGAGCUUGCUCCUCUGACGUUAGCGGCGGACGGGUGAGUAACACGUGGAUAACCUACCUAUCAGACUGGGAUAACUUCGGGAAACCGGAGCUAAUACCGGAUAAUAUAUUGAACCGCAUGGUUCCAUAGUGUAAGACGGUUUUGCUGUCACUUAUAGAUGGAUCCGCGCCGCAUUAGCUCGUUGGUAAGGUAACGGCUUACCAAGGCAACGAUGCGUAGCCGACCUGAGAGGGUGAUCGGCCACACUGGAACUGAGACACGGUCCAGACGCCUACGGGAGGCAGUAGUAGGGAAGCUUCCGCAAUGGGCGAAAGCCUGACGGAGCAACGCCGCUUGAGUGAAGAAGGUCUUCGGAUCGUAAAACUCGGUUAUUAGAGAAGAACAAAUGGGUAAGUAACUAUGCGCGUCUUGACGGUACCUAAUCAGAAAGCCACGGCUAACUACGUG
rnacentral:rRNA from 1 species